UCCAGAUCUAAGGAACCAAUCAAAACUCUUCCAUUUAGACCUUUCAGACAACCAAAUUACUGGGCCGGUACCUGGUUGGAUUUCAGAACUUAGUCUUCUUCAAUAUCUGAAUCUUUCACGCAAUCUUCUGGUUGAUCUAGAAAGACCUUUGUCUCUUCUUGGUCUUAGCAUCUUAGACCUGCAUCAUAACCAGCUCCAAGGGAGCAUUCCAGUUCCUCCAUCAUUUAUUACCUAUGUGGAUUACUCAAGCAAUAAUUUUUCUUCCUCCAUCCCCCCUAACAUCGGUAAUUACUUCAACUUUACCUUUUUCUUCUCCCUUUCAAAUAAUCACCUUAUCGGAGCAAUACCGCAAUCGAUAUGCAGUUCCGAAUGGCUACAAGUUCUUGACUUGUCUAACAACAGUUUGAGUGGAGCAAUACCAUCCUGUUUAAUUGAGAAGAUUAAGACUCUUCGUGUUCUAAAUUUAAGGAGAAACAACUUCGAUGGAAUUAUUCCUGAUAAAUUUCCAAGAAGCUGUGAAUUGAAGACUCUGGAUCUGAGUGGAAACAACUUGCAAGGGCAAGUUCCAAAAUCUCUGGCAAAUUGCACAAUGUUAGAGGUCUUAGACCUUGGGAACAAUCAAAUCAAUGACAGCUUCCCGUGUCUUCUUAAGAACAUAUCGAGUUUUCGUGUCCUUGUUCUGCGAAACAACAUGUUCUCCGGGCCUAUUGGAUGUCCACAAAUCGAAGGCACUUGGCCAAGGCUUCAGAUCGUCGACCUAGCUUUCAACCAUUUCAGAGGAAAUCUACCAGAUAUUUGCUUGAAAACGUGGGAAGGAAUGAUGGAAGGUGGAAACAGAAGCCUUGAGCACAUAAGAUAUGAUCCCCUGAAGCUGACGAAUGGACUGUAUUAUCAAGAUUCAAUAACAGUCACACUCAAGGGUCUCGAGCUGGAGCUGGUGAAGAUACCAACUGUCUUUACCUCUGCUGACUUUUCAAGCAACAACUUUGAAGGGCCAAUACCAGAUGCCAUAGGACAGUUCAAUGUCCUCUAUGUUCUCAACUUGUCACAUAAUGUACUCACAGGCCAAAUUCCAUCAUCUUUAGGCAACCUGUCACAGCUCGAGUCCUUAGACCUCUCAUCUAACCAAUUGUCGGGACAAAUCCCAGCACAGCUAACAAGCCUGACAUUCCUUUCAGUCCUGAAUCUCUCAUAUAACAGGCUAGUGGGACGGAUCCCAACAGGCAAUCAAUUCCUGACGUUCUCGUCCGAUUCCUUUGAAGGUAACCAAGGAUUAUGCGGGCCUCCGUUAAUUUUAUCGUGCAACUAUACCUUUGUAUCAAAUUCUGGUAUAGACAUUGACUGGGUCUUCUUAAGUGCUGGAUUGGGAUAUAUCUUCGGGUCGGGCAUUAUUGUUCUACCUCUUAUGUUUUGCAAGAGAUGGAGAACAUGGUACUACACACAUGUUAAUCGUGUAAUUUUCAGGAUCUUCCCUCAACUAGAAAAAAGAAGAAAGAAUCUUGGCAGAAGAGCUCAAAGAAAUAGAAGAAGGCAGUAACAUUGGUGAAGAAAAUCAAUGAGCAUUUGCGAUUAAUAUUUCCUAUGGCUUCUUUUUUAUAUACUGCUGUAUGUUUUGUUUUGUUUUCAGUUUUAUAGACAUUUGCAAUAAGUUCAGUUUCAAUUUUAGUUUUUAUUCUGUGAGUUAUUGUGUUGUGUUGGGAAAAUUGAUACCAAUCUAAUUAAAUACACAGUUUACAAUUCACAAGUCUCAAAUUUAUUUUUUUCUCUUUGUGCAAUCAAAAUUAGAAUUAACCAAUUAACAAAAUAAUACAAUCAAUCACAUAACUCAAUACCAAGGAUUUUACGAGACAAACCCGAUAUGAAAAAAAUCACGGAACCAUAGUCCACCUAAAAUCUCACACUAUCAAUAAAUAAUGGGUUCAUAAUUGUUUUUCCUUAGCUAUAACUAAGGGUACAACAUACAUACAUACAUACAUACAUACAUACAUACAUACAUCAUCAAGAACGAUAUAUUCUUAGAAGACAACAAGAUUAAAGAGAGAAAGGUUUGGGAAAAUCUCAUAACACGUCAGCCCUGUUUUUUGCCAAAAUGAUCCACUUAGACACCAUCACUCUUCAAUCUAACAGUCCAGAAUGAAUAGCAACCUGUUUGAAAUCUGCUAUCAAAAUCUCAGCCUAAUCCAUCGAUGAACAAUUUGGAAAUCGAAGAAUGAAGGCAGACUGCUUAAGCUAUCUCUUUUGGUUUCUCUCUCGUACUCUCUUUUAUCUUGUAAGGCAUUUUACCACAACAAUGAUAUUUGUUAUUUAUAUUAGAGUAAGCUAACACUAAUCACUUAAGAGCCUUCUUCUUUUCUUUAUUUAAAAUGUGUGGUAGUCCCAUUGUCAUAUGGUAUGGAACCACACAUAACAAAUCUCCUCCUCAUACACCAUGUGAAGAAUUCAUCAUACCAGCAAUCAACUUGUAAGCUUCAAUUUGAGAGGCUUUACCAAGCCCACUUCCUUUCUACAAAACUCAAACCUCUAUCUUGGUAGAGGUUUGAUCAUUAUAUCUAACACAUUGUUAUCGAUAUGAAUCUUGUCAACAACAAAAGUCUUCAUCUUUAUAGCAUCUCAAAUUCAUUGAUAUCUAACCUCAAUGUACUUUGAUCAAGAGUGAAAAGUAGGGUGCUUUGCACUUUGACUAUCACAAUACAACACAAAGUUCUCUUAAAUUAGGCCAAGUUCAUGUAAGAACUUCUUCAUCCAUAACAACUAUUUGCCCCCUUCAGUAAAAACAAUAUAUUCAGCCUCUAUAAUGGAUAAUACAAUAUAUUUUUGCAACUUUGAUUGCCAUUAUAUUGUUCUCUUAUAAAGGUCAUCAAGUAUCUAGAUGUGAACUUUCUAAAAUCAACAUCACCUGCCAUAUCUGUAUAUGUGUAACAAUUUAACACAGUUUAUCAUUGUCAAAACAUAAAUUGAAACUAGAAGUACAUUUGAGAUACCUGAGUAUCCAUUUCACGGCUGACUAGUGUUCUUUAUCAGGAUUGUAGAGAAAUUGACUAACCACACCAACUAUAUAAGCUAUAUCUAGCCUUGUGCAAACCAUGACAUACAUCAAGCUACAAGCUACAUAUGCAUAAAGAACCUUUUUUUUUUAUCUCAUUUCUUUUUUUAUAUAACUUGAAGGACACUACUUAGAACUUAGUUUAGAGUGGUUUGCAAGUGAAGAACAAACAGAAUUGGAGUUACUCAUGUUGAAUCUCUUAAGUAAUUUUUUAACAUAUCUCUCCUGAGAUAGCCAAAGUUUCUCAUUCUUCCUGUCACGAGUAGUCUUCAUGCUAAGAAUUUGUUUUGUUGGUCCUAAGUCUUUCAUUGCAAAAGGUUUGUUUAACUCUCCCUUCAAACUCUUAAUCUUCCUAAUAUCAUGACCAACAAUCAGCAUAUCAUCCAUAUAUAAUAACAGAAUAAUAAAGUUUUCAUCUGAAAACCUUUUCAUAAGCACACAAUGAUCAGAAGUGGUUCUAUCAUAACCAUGAUCCACUAUGAAAGAAUCAAACUUUUUAUACCAUUGCCUUCAAUUUUGCUUCAACCCAUACAAACUGAUGUGCCGUGAAUGAUUCGAAAAAUCGGCAACAAUAAAUCUGACGAAAAUGGAUGAAGGAUGGGUCUGGUUGUGUUGUCUUUCUUUUGGUGUUUAGGCUGGAUUAUAGUGAUUUCAAGGUAAAUAAGAUGGAGGAUAGACUAGAAUGAUACUUUGAUAAGUCGAUCUGGACGCCACAAAGAUCAAUCUAGGAUUUCGACGCCACACUCUUUGUGAUUGAAGAGUGAUAAGUCAGGUAGGGUUCUUCAUAAAAUCAAUUUGGAAGAACAACUCUUAAUUCUGUGAAUUAAGUUUCAAAUCUUGGCCAAAAGUUCUUUAUUACAUAUUCUGAUACUAUAUUUAUAAUUGAAACAUCCCUCCAAAGUUAGGAAUAAUUCAACAUGGCAGAAGUCAAGCCCAAAAAACAGACUUUGACAAACCAACCUAGACAAAUUAACUAGCACACGUUUUUUGACCUUUCUAACAUAAACAGACCAAAUUUAAAACAAUCAUAUCUUCUUACACAAAAGUCCAAUGCAAUCAUGGUUGGACAAUCUAGAAAGAACACGUUCUGAACUUGAAAUCCACCUAGAUUAGUCUUAUUUUCACAUGCAAUGGAUGACUUCAAAUUCAGGUUCAAAUUCAUUUGCUGUUCUGCCCAUAAACAGCAUCAAUUCCUUCAUUUAUUUGCAUAUCAACCCAAAUUCGAGUAGCCCAGCAUCAAAAGAACAAUUAAGGGCUUUUCUCAUCUCCAAGUUCCAAUUGUAGGCAAAUAAACAUCCUUGAACCAAUUUCAAACUGAUUGCUAAUUUUUAACUCUGACGCAGCUUCAAUCAUUCCAAUUUGACUCGUCAAGGCCCUUUGUAGUUGUUUCGCUCUCGCUCUUGUCAUUGGACCAUCUGAAUCCUCUUGCACAUUAGUUUUAGCUUUACAAGAUGGAUUAUAAUUCCCAUGAUGCACAUCAUCAGCCCCGGGUUGAAAAUGAUUUGUCCUCAAAUCAGAAUCGUCAUCGUCAUCCAAGUAUGGAGUCAAGUCUUUCACAUUAAAAGUAGCUGAUACGUUGUAAUUACCAGGAAGAUCUACCUUAUACGCAUUGUCAUUCACCUUCUCUAUAAUCCGAAAUGGACCAUCAGCCCUUGGCAUCAACUUGGACUUACGUUUGCUUGGGAAUCUGCCCUUGCUAAUAUGAAUCCAAACAAGAUCUCCAGGUUAAAACCUAACCAUUUUCCGCCCCUUGUUAGCCUGUUUAGCAUACUUUAUCGUUUUCUCCUCAAUAUGUAAUCGAACCUGCUCAUGUAGUUUCUUCAUCAAUUCUGCCUUUCUAAUUCCAUCCAUAGAUGUCCUCUCAUCAAUUGGAAUAUGAAUAAGAUCAAUAGGAACACAAGGAUUAAAGCCAUACACAACCUCAAAUGGUGAAAAUUUUGUAGCCCCAUGCACACUACGAUUAUAUGCAAACUCCACAAUAGGCAAACAAGUAUCCCAACUCUUCAAAUUCUUAUGUAUAACAGCUCGUAACAAAGAAGAUAAAGUUCGGUUUACUACCUCAGUUUGUCCAUCAGUUUGUGGAUGACAUGCCGUACUGAAAAGUAACUUCGUUCUAAGCUUCCUCCAAAGAGUCUUCCAAAAGUGGCUUAAGAACUUUGUAUCACGAUCAGAGACAAUGCUUUUAGGAACUCCAUGCAAACGAACAAUCUCUUGAAAGAACAAAUCAGCAACAUGUACUGCAUCAUCAGUUUUGUUGCAAGGAAUGAAAUGAGACAUUUUGGAGAAUCGAUCAACCACGACCAUUAUUGAAUCCUUUCCACGCUGUGUUCUUGGUAACCCAAGUACAAAGUCCAUGCUAACAUCCAUCCAUGGUUGCUCUGGAAUAGGCAAUGACAUAUACAGUCCAUAUGCAUUCUCUUUACCCUUAGCUUUCUUGCAAAUAGCACAUCUCUCAAUCACCUUGUGCACAUCCCGUAACAUGCUAGGCCAAAAGAAAUGUUCUUUCAGCAGCUCAUAAGUCUUCUUCUCCCCAAAAUGACCACUAAGACCACCACCAUGAGCCUCUCGCACAAGCAACUCCCGUAACGAUCCUGAAGGAAUACACAUUCUGCCCAUUUUGAACAAGUAACAUUCAUGCAUAAAGAACCCAUCACAAGCUCCCUUUGCACAUUCAAUAACCACAUUAGCAAAGUAGGAAUCAUUAGCAUACUGUUCCUUCACUUGUUCAAAACCCAUCAGCUUUGCAUUCAACAUAGAGAUCAGUGCAAACCUCCUAGAAAGAGCAUCAACAACCACAUUAACUUGCCCUUUCUUGUACUUUAUGACAUAAGGAAAUGACUCCAUAAACUCCACCCAUUUAGCAUGUCUGCGAUUCAGCUUGCUUUUCCCCUUAAGAUACUUCAAGGAUUCAUGAUCAGUAUGUAUAACAAAUUCUUUAGGCAACAAGUAGUGCUGCCAUACCUCUAGAGCCCGAAUCAAAGCAUAGAACUCCUUGUCGUAAAUAGAGUAGUUCAAACGUGCUCCAUUUAACUUUUCACUGAAGAAUGCAAUCGGCCUCUUUUCUUGCAGCAAGACAGCCCCAAUUCCAACUCCGGAAGCAUCACACUCUAUUUCGAAUGUUUUAGCAAAGUCUGGAAGUGCUAAAACUGGAGCAGUACACAACUUCUCCUUAAUUAGCUCAAAUGCUUUCUGCGCAUCUUCACUCCAUCUAAAGUCGUUCCUUUUUUUUAAGCAUUCUGUCAUAGGAGCAACAAUAGAGCUGAAGUCUUUCACAAAUCGCCUGUAGAAAGAAGCCAAACCAUGGAAACUCCUCACAUCAGCGAUACUAGCAGGUUUUGGCCAGUCCCGAAUUGCCUCAAUUUUCUCCUCAUCAACCUUAACUCCCCUGCUAGAGAUAAUAUACCCAAGAAACACGACACUUUCUUUACAGAAGUAACACUUUGUGAGUUUCCCAUACAACUUAGAAUCUCGCAAAGUUUCAAAUAGAACUCUAAGAUGCUUCAUAUGAUCAUCAAAGGUCUUGCUAUACACCAGGAUAUCAUCAAAAUAUACUACAACAAACAGCCCAAUAUACUUCCUCAAAACAUGAUUCAUAAGCCUCAUAAAUGUACUAGUCGCAUUAGAUAACCCAAACGACAUUACCAUCCAUUCAUAUAACCCCUGUUUAGUUUUAAAUGUUGUUUUCCAUUCAUCUCCUUUUGUUGGCUUCGUAUCUGAUCCUCUCUAACCAGUUGAGAACUCAAUGGUAACAAGUUCACCAUCCUUCCAUUCAACAUAAAAGAAUAAGUGUUCUUUCGUCCAUUAUAGGUCACAUCCUUAUCAAACUGCCAUGGACGACCCAUCAACAAAUGGCUAGCUGACAUCGGCGCAACGUCACACAAAACCUCGUCAUGAUAGGUUUUAAUGGAAAAAGGUACACGAACUUGCUUUGUCACCCGAAUCUCCCCAUUCUCAUUCAGCCAUCGCAAACUGUACGGCCUGGGAUGUGGAAGGGUAGUUAAACCCAAUUUCUCCACCAAGGUAGUUGACGCAACAUUAGUGCAACUUUCAUUGUCAAUGAUCAUCCCACACACCUUAUCUCGAAUCUGACAUCGAGUAUGAAAGAUGUUCUCGCGUUGCUCAUCACUAACGUCAAUUUGUGCAUUCAGAACCCGUUGCACAACCAAUAAAUCUCCCUUUACUGGUUCGAAAUCCUCUUCUUGUUCAGCCACUUGUACCUCAUCUUCAUCUUCAGUUUCAACCUCAUCUCCACUGAUCAGCUCUCCAUGAUCCCCAUGCAAAAUCAUCACCCUUUUAUUUGGACAUUCUGAAGCAAUGUGCCCAUGUCCUAAGCACUUGAAGCACUUGAUGUCCUGAGACCUCCUAGGAUGUUGAGGUUCUGUCACCUUCUCCUUCCCCUUCAAAGAAUCAGAACUGUUAUUCCCCUUAGUAAACUCCACCUUCUCAUCUCGUUUAAGUGUGCUCCAUGUUCGUGUAGGUGUAGAAACAGCCCUUGUUGUGCUUGACGUAGUUACACCAGUUCGGACACCUCCUCGUUUCUGUUGCCUCUCUACUCGAGUUGCAAGCUUUAUAACUUCCUCAAGGAAGAUGUACGGCUGUAAUUCAACAACAUUAGCUAUAUCCUUCCUCAACCCUCCAAGAAAUCUAGCUAUUGUUUGCUCUUGGGGUUCCAUCAAUUCACAUCGAAUCAGCAGCAACUCAAACUAUUUCACAUACUCUUCCACGCUCAAAGAUCCUUGUCGCAAAGUUUGAAGUCUGAUGUAUAGCUCCUGUUUAUAGUAAUCAGGAACAAAUCUCUUCUUCAUCACUCUUUUCAUAGUUGCCCACGUUAUAAUCUCCUCUUCUUCAUCCCUUCUCCUCUGAAUCUUCAAGUUUUCCCACCAUAAAAGAGCAUAAUCUGUAAACUCAAGUGCUGCCACCUUGCACUUCCUUUCUUCAGAAUAUUCAUACCAUUCAAACACCUUUUCAACCUUCUGAAUCCUCUUGCACAUUAGUUUUAGCUUUACAAGAAGAAUUAUAAUUCCCAUGAUGCACAUCACAAACUUUUUUCCAACUUGUAAACUAGUUGCUUUUUGCAUUUUACUUCAAACCCUUUAGGUUACUCCAUGUAGAUAUCCUCAUCUAAGCCACCAUGGAGAAAAACAGUUUUCAAAUCAAUUUGUUCAAUUUCAAGAUUCAAACUAGCAGCUAAACUAAGCACAACUCAGAUUUAAGACAUCUUAACCACUAAUGAAAAGAUUUCUUUAAAAUCAAUACCCUGCUUCUGACCAAAACUUUUCACAACCAAUCUUGCCUUGUUCCUUGGUUAUGAACAAUGUUCAUCAAUUUUCAAAUUAAAUACCUAUUUGUUCUUGAGUGCUUUUUUUUCUUUAGAAAGUGUCAUUAACUCAAAAGUGUGGUUUUCAUAUAAAAACUUUAUCUUUUCAUGCAUGGUUUGUAACCACUCACUUUUCUUCUCAUGUGACCAUUAGUAACCAACAUAUACUCAUGAGGAGAAUCUCUGGUGGAAGGUUGACGAGGUCUAGUAAACCUCCUUAACUAUAGCUUAUUUGAAGCUUCUUGAAUAACUUGUUCAAAAAUAACAUCAACAUCACCAUUAAAUGGCUCAAUAGGCAAACCACCACCAUUAUUAUUUUUCAAACCUCCCACAUGAUUAAAAUACAACAAAGGUAACUAUGAAGUAUGUCUUGGAUUCGAAUUAGCAGGAAUAAAAAUAAUAGACUAUGUUUUCUCUUUCUGUUCAAAGUCUUCAAUGGUUUAAUCUUCAAAGAAGACAACAUAUUUUCUUCUAACAAUAUUCUUCUUUUUUGAAUCUCAUAGCCUAUAGCUAAACUCAUCAUUUUUUGAACCUAAGAAAAUAAUUGUUUUGACUUGUUGUCAAGUAUAGACCUUUCAUCUUUAGAGAUAUGUAUAAAUGUCCUGCAAUCGAACACUUUUAUGUGUGCAUAAAAUACAUCAUUUCCUUUCCAUACUCUCUCUAGAAUAUCAAAGUCAAGAGGAACUAAUGGAGAAAGGUUGAUCAUGACAACUACAAUCUUCAUUGCCUCACACCAAAAAGACUUAGUAUAUCUAAAUGAUGUGGUCUUGUCAAUACGCGUCAUGUUUUUGUUGUAGCAAUUUAUAAUAAAAUGAUACUUUUACCCUUAUCGUGCAAAAACAAUUAACUAACUAACAUAGAUAAUGCGGUCUUUUCACAAGGUUUCACUAAUUAUUAUUAUAUUGAUAGGGAGUACAACAAUCUUUUUUAUAUUUUUAAAGCACAGUAAAAUAACUACAUUACUUUUAAAAUUAUUUUUUUUAACUAGCAUCCACUGAUGUUUCUGUAUUUUUAAUUUUUUAAGUACGGUAAAAUAACUUAAAAACCCAUAAAAGUAAAAUUUUGCAUUUCAAAUUCAAUUUCUCAUUAAUUAUAGUUAUUUCUUAAAAAAAUUUAUAAUCAUGUUUUUCAUGUGCACGUGGGCAUAUAUAUAUAUACACAAAUGCUUGUUUUUUCCUCUUAUGAUGCUAGGAGCAAUUUUGAAAAUAUAUAUUUAUUUAUUUAUAUAGCAAUUAAAAAAUAUAUCUGUAAGGAAGGCAACAAUUUAAAUUAUAGAAGAAAAAUAUUUUAAUGUGAAUUUUCCAUUUCUUAUUCUUGUAUUUUUAUUUUACAAAAUAUAUUUCUUUUAUUAGUAUCUUGUUUUGUGAAAAAACAACUAGAGGCAGUUAAAAUAAAUACUAAUAAAAAUUUCAUUGAUUUAAUUAAGGUGGAAAAAACAUAUUCUUUCAAUCAAACCUCCAUUACCUUAUUCAUGUUUUUUAUUUUGACAAACACAUUUUUUUUUUUAUAAAAGCAUUGUUCUUUAAAUAAAAACUUAUAAUGUUAUGAAAAGAAAACUUCAAUAAAAAAUAUAAAAAUUCAUGACUCGAUAGUUCAUACACAAUAGAAGGAAAAAAAAUAAAAAAAUAAGUAAUACGAGAGAAUUAUGAAAAAAAAAUUGAGAAUAAAAAUGAAAAAAUAGAUAUUUUAUUUUCAUUUAAUAUUCAUGAGCUUUUUUUUAUUUUUUAUAUUAGGUUCAUGUAUAAUAAUUUACAAAAUAAUUGUUAAUAUUAUCAUGAAAAGCUAUAAUUUUAUUUGAAAACCAUGAGAAAAUUAGAUAAUAUUUCAAAUAUCAUUUAAUUAUUUUAUUUAUAGUCACUUUUAUUCAAAAUUAAAAAAACAAAAACAACUAAAGGGCAAUAUAAAAAAAAGACAAGGUGCCUACGCGUGGGAGGAUAGACCAUAGUGCUUGGCCUAAAAUUAAAAAAAGCCCAAGGCAUGGGCUUGCAACGUUAGGUGUGCACAAUUUUUUUUUUCUUGUAAAAGGACAUAUAACAUAUUAGCCACCUUAAAAAAAAAAUUAAAAUGAGAAAAACAAUGUUUCCUCUAAUGGAUUUAAAAUUUUAAAUUCCAGGCACCUUCGAUGGUUUAAAAGUAAAGGUCUAAGCUUUCAGAUCUUAGAAACUCAAUUUCAAUUUGUUAUUGUCUAUAAACACCUAAAAACAUCAUGAGAAUCUCAUUAAACCUAUUUUAACAUCAUUCGAAACAUUGUCUUUCUCAUUUUAAAAGCCUAGGGCAUGCAUGGGCCUAUAAGGUCAGACGUGCACAACUUAUUUUUUCUUGUAAAAUGAUGGAUGACAUAUUAACCACCUUACAAAAAUUAAAUGAUAAAGACAAUGUUUCCUCUGAUAGAUUAAAUUUCAUGGCUUAAAAGUAAAGGUUUAAAUUUUUAGAACUCAAAAACUCAAUUUCCAAUUUGUUAUUGCAUGUAAAAACCUCAUUAAACCUCUUUUAACUAAAAAAACAUUCUUUAAUCGGUAUAAAAACUCAAAAUUAAACUAAAUAAAAAAAAUUUCAUGAUUCGAUCUACUUUUUUAAAAAAAUAAAAAUGUAAACCACCUCGAUAGAACUUCUCUUUGUUAGACGAACCCAUUGACACCACAAUUUGUCUUUUUCUUGGUCAAAAUAUGCAUGACCAACCAUUUCUCUAUGCUUUUAUUUUCUAACAAUUUUCUCCCUUCUCUCUCAACACUAAAGAACUGAAACAUAAAAAAAAUUAAAGUUUAGUAAUGAAACUUAACAUUUUAAAACUUCACAUACCAAAUGUGUUUUCAACAUUGAGUUCUGUUUUUUUUUUAUCCUGAUUCUUUCAAUUGUUUUUUUUUUUACUAUAACCUCAAGUUUACUUUUGUAAAUUUAAUCUUUUAUUGAGCGUUAGAAUUUUAUCAGACAUUUCAUAUACAUGAAAAAAUGCAAAGAUAAGAAAAUCCUAAAUAAUAAAACAUUGCUAACACGCUAUAUGAGGCUGAAAUUACCAAAAAAAAAAUGUUCGAUAACCAAAUAAAAAUAAUUAACCAUUCAUAGUGAAUUGUAUCUAUGGUCACAAUAUCCUACAUAAAAAUAGCAUAUUCCUAGAAUUCUAAUAUACUAACUAUUUUACAUGUGUACCAAGUUGAAUAAUUUUAUUUUCAACAAAAAUAUGUAAAAGGUUUUCUAAAGCGUUGUUUGACAUUAAAAAGUCUUAAUAAUAAAUUGAAAAGUCUAUGCAAAUAUUUAAUUAAAUAAAUUAAGAAUUAUCUGUGUAAAUAAAUGAAAAAAAAGUCAUUAAUGUUGAAAAAGUCAAGAGAUAGAUGCAUAUCAAAAUAUUUGAUCUCAUAACACAAAUCAUUUACCUGGUUGUAUUUAAUAACUUUAUUUAUUGAAAUUAAUUUUUAAUUUAAUCAAAUGAUAAUAGAAACAAACAUACAUGAAAUCGAUGGAAUAAAAUCAAAGUAAAAAAAAUAUUUUAUAAGGUUGUACAUCUUAGGAAAAAAUAUAUUAUCAUUUUAUGUGAAAACGAAGUAAAACUACAUGUUAUAUUUAACCAAAGAAUAAAUUGAAAAGUUGAGAGAUAGAUAUGAAUGUAAAUAUACGAUAUUGAAACACUAGGCAUGAACUUGAUUGUAUUUAAUAAAAUAAUUUCUUAGAACCAAUGUUUUAUAUAAUAAAAUAAUAAUAAUAAUAAUAAUAAUAAUAACAACACACAUAGAAAAGUGACUCAAAAGAAUUAAAGAGAAAUGUUUUUUAAGAACGGCUUUAUAGAAAGAAUGUCUUCUCGGACUAGAAAAAGAUUUUGAAAGUGUAUUCGUAAACCAAAUAAAAAAUAAAUAAUAUUUAUUUAGAAACAUUAUAAAAAUCUAUAAAAUCUAAAAAAAAAACAGCCUAUAAAUUUUUUAAUAAAAGCCAAAAACUAAAUGAUGAAAUUAAAAGGAAAAAAAAUGCAAAAAAAAAAACCAAUGACCUAAACUAUUGUGGAAAAUGACGUGUUGCCGGUUAACCUAGUUUUAGGCGACCUGAAGAUCGCUGAAAAUUUAGGCCAAGGAUUUCUUUUCCUAAAAAACUUGAUUUUAACCUGUUUUUUUAUCCAAAACACUUAGAAAACACCUUAUACACCAUGACAAACCUAUCUAUGAACUCAAAUUACUCAAAUAACGACAUAAAAAUCCAAAAUCAACUCGAAAUUAAAAAGCAUUCUCUAGCUCAUAUCUACCAUUUCAGGCAAUUUAAAGAACAAAAAAACCUAGGUGAGACUCUCCUCAUCGAAUGAAACUUAAGAUUAACUUUUUUUAUGGUCUAAAUCGGUGUAAUCGAUUUUUUUUCUCUUUAUCGCCAAAAUCCAGUGAUUCCCUCUCUCGAACUAAAGACUAAACAUGAAGAAAAUGAAGUUCUAGACUAAAAUUAAAAUCUUAAAAACCAAAGGGACUGAAAAGAAAAAAAAUGAAAAGUAUAAGGAUCAAAAUCAACUUUUCAUGAAAACUUGAAACGUGCCACCAAGUUUUGCUGUCUUUUUCACUUUGAUCCCUUAUUUUUUUAAUUUUGCCCUUUUCAACAAAUAAGAGUUAAUUGACCACAAAAAGACUGGAUUGAGGAGAGAAAAAAACUUUGAUUACGGAAAUAAAUAUAUAAAAUCACUAUGAAAGUCCAGAAAUAUGACUCUGUAUAUAGCAUGUGAGAAACAAUAUUUUCCCAACAAAACAAAGUGGGAUGUGGAUCGAAUGAUUUUGUGGAUAUGGUAGGGGUUAUGGUGUAGCUGGGCCUGCAUUCUUUAGAUUUCUACUGGCUGUUAGGACAUCAAAUUUCUCCAAAUUCCCUGGCCCAUAAUUGCGUGACUUGGCACUUGGCAGCAACUAUUUCAAUUAUUACCUCGUUUCCAAUUCUUUCUUGGCCCUAUUGAAUUGCUUUAUCUCUAUGAGAGCCACAUGAAGGAAUGAGGGAUACAUUACAGAUGGCUUGUCUGGCCACCAAGCCGGCCGGCCAGUUACCGGUAAGUUUAAUAUAGAAGAAGGAGCUGAAGCCGACAGCAUUUGCUUAAAAAAUCUUUAGGGACUCAAAAGCGACAUGGCUCCUGCAUACCAAAGAUCGGUUUAAUUGGAGCUGUUGCCUAGUUUAGAAGUGGCUGAUAGACAGCCCACUGCAGGUGUUAUUCAAUUACGAGGAAUUUUGAGACAGCCCACUGCCCUCAUCCAGCAAGAAAUGCUUCAAUCUACCGUCUACGUUCUUCUGAAUGUUAUUCUUCUUCUAUUUUUGUUAUAUAUGCCAGGAAUUUUGUGCUGGGUAUGCUUUGUUUAUUAUUUUCAGGUAGGAGGUAAGUAUGAAAAGGAAGAAGAGGCUUCUUGACUGAUGAAGAUAGUGCAAAAAGACGGGGACCAAUACCAUAACUAAGCCUCCCAUUUCCUCAAAGUGUUGCGGUCAAAGAUGUUGGCAUUUUCAGUAAUCAGGAGGACAGAAUUUCUACAGAUAUUAAAGCGUAACAUGGACUUGAGGGCAAAGCACAGUAUUUAGUAUGUGGACUUCCCACCAACCUAGCAGGCUCACAAGUUUUCCCCAAGUAUGGAUCCUUCAUGCCUUGCUGCUUCAAUGUUUCAUGAUCACAGUUGAAAAUACGAUCAAGUUUUUUUUCUUAAAAAAAAACAAAUUACCAAAGUGAUAAAUGCCAUCCCUCCUAGCAUUGCAUCCUGCAGUCGAUCUACCUUCUGUGUUUCUUCACUAAUUUAUGUAUGAUCUGUGAGUGAAGACGAGUUAUAGCAAGCCAAUGCAUGUUUCAUUCUAUGUGCAGAUAAAAUUAUUCCCUUAAUGCUCACAGCUAGAAACUAAUUAUAGUGAGCACUGACAGCCACAGGGGUCAAUUCACUGACACCCCUCUAGAAGGAGGAAUUUUUUUUCCAUGGAUAUCACUUUCAUUGAUACAUUCAACAGGUUAAUUGUAGCAGAAAAAGUGAACUUCAAGGUCCGUUUUCUGUCACACUGGCAGCGCUUUUGUGGUUUUCUUUCUCUCCAUUCUCCAUUUCCCACUUCAGUAGAAUUCCAAUCCAUCGAUCACUUCAUGUGAGCAUGCCGUCCUUCCUAUGGAGUAGACGAGCAAUGUUUGCUAGACUGAUUGAACAAAUAAUUUAUAAAAUUGAUAAAUACAAAUAAAAAUAUUGAGGAAAUAUUUUUAUUAGUAAAUUGUCAAUGAAUUUAAUUGAUAGAAAAAUUCUCUCGAUAUUUAUUAAGGGAGUUAUAGUGAAAAAAUAAAUUAAAAAAAAUAAAAAAAAACAAUGACGUGUCAUUUUUACAAACGGAAUUACCGACGGAAUUUAUUUUGUCGGUACAAUCCGUCGGUAAAUUUAUUGGUAAAUUGUGAAUAUUGUUCAUCAUGUCAAUUACAAAAGGAAUCACCAACGAAAAAUUCUAUCGGUAUUUUCUAGAGAGUUCUGGAACUGUUCAGUUUUCAAUUGCACUGUUAAUUACUGUUCUUUACAGACAAAAUCACUAACGAAUUGAAAAGUCAUCGAUGUUAUUUGUUGGUUUUCUAAAAAAAAAUUAUUAAAUUAAAAUUUUAAAUUAAAUAUUACAGACGGAAUCACCGAUGGAUUGAAAAGUCAUUGGUGAUAUUUGGCGAUUUCUGAAAUUUUUUGAUUAAAUUGAAAAUUUAAAUUAAAUAUUACAAACGAUAUCACUAACGAAUUGAAAAGUCAUCGAUGUUAUUUGUUGGUUUUCUAAAAAAAAAUUAUUAAAUUAAAAUUUUAAAUUAAAUAUUACAGACGGAAUCACCGAUGGAUUGAAAAGUCAUUGGUGAUAUUUGGCGAUUUCUGAAAUUUUUUGAUUAAAUUGAAAAUUUAAAUUAAAUAUUACAAACGAUAUCACCGACGGAAUAAUUAAAAAUAUUAAUAUUUAAUUAUCCAUCAGUAUAACCGUCAGUAAAACGCUCCAAUAAAAAGUCUAGAAUCCAUAAUUUCACAACAGAUGGGGCUCCUUUCUUCUUCUUCUUCUUCCCCAUAUGUAAAAAACAUCAAUAUCCAUUUUUUUUCUCUUCUCUUCUCUUCUCUCCUCAACUUCUUCUCUUCUCCUUCAUGCUUAGGUAUGAAUUCUUCUCCUUUCUUCUUUUUUCUUCUUAGUUUUUUUUAAUUAAUAUACUUUACAAAAAACAUUUUCUUCUUAGCUUCACUUGCAACUACAUUAAGGUAAGAUUUUUUUUCUUUUUUUCACUAUAUUUUUUUAUUUUUAAUUGUUUUUGUUCUUAAUAAUUGUAUGAAUAUUGUUGUAGGAUUUUUUUUUCAUAUGAUUUUCUUCUUCUUUUUUCUUAGCUUUUUGAGUAUUAUAGAGUGUUGAUUUAUAUUACUUUUAAUUAUUUUAUGGUUUUGUAAAAUGGAUUUUUAAAAAUAUUUUUAAAUAAUUACCGACAGAAUUACAUACGGUAUUUUUUCGAGGGAAAUACCGACGGAAUGAAACGGAUUAUUUUUUUUUGCACGCUUUUUCUAUCAGUAAAUUCAUCGGUAAUAAUAUUUUUUAUUACCGACGAAAGAUUCAUCAACAGAGCAUUUCCGUCAAUGAUUUCGUUGGUAAAUUAAUUACCAACAUAAUAAUAGUAUAAAUACUAACAAAAAAUUUUGCCAGUAAAUCGAAAGAUUGGGAUAGUGGUUGAACACAUCACAAGAAAACAAAUUUAAGAAUACCCUAAUUGAUGCCCAAAACACACACUUAAUAAGCUGGUUUCCAUGCUUGAAAUUGAUAGGCUAGAUGAUGUUUGUCCAGUCUCCACUCCCUCAUAAUAUCCAAGUGCAUUGCUGCUUGCUAUUGGCUAGCUAAAGUGUCAAGGAAACAGCCAAUGGCAACACUAGCAGAAGAAGUCCUGAAAUUAAUCAAACCAUAGAGGGGUUCCAAAUACCAAUUUACGACGGUAACGAAGGGGAGAUUGGCUUGAGAUGGGCCCAUCGGAGGAAGAAUUAUGACUCCACUUGUGUGUUAAAAUAAUCUAAUCUAGCAUGAAGUCGCUCCCAUGUCUUGCACGAUUUCUGUUUGCAAAAGACAAUCUACAAUUAUUGAAUUGGUAAUAGGUUCAAUAAUCUUAUAUUAAUUUCUUAUGAUUACUCGUUGAAUACGUACCAAGGAAGGAGUUAAGAAUUUGAAGCUGGAAAGGCAUAUUGAGAUACAAAAAUUAUUUACACAUGAAAACAUACAUAAAAUAGCUAUAGAUUCUGGGCUAAAAUGUGGUUUUUUUUAACUAAAAGGGUCCAUUUUAUAGACAAAAAUAACUAAUAAAUUAUUUCGAGCUUUGGAGUGUUGUGACUCCUGCCUAACAUCGAAGUGUUUGAUCACUACCAGAAAGAAAUUUAGCAAUUCGAAUUCAGAACUUUUAAUUAGUCAGAAGUCCCGGAAUAGGUAAAUUCUUAUAUGAUUGAAUGUUGACUCUUCUGUGGAAUUCUGAAAAAUUGGUACUACUAAUUCAUUCCUUAACGGAUACAAUUACAUAAUAUAUAAGAAUUUAUACCCGGUUUAUUUUUGUGUUUUAAAAAUAUUUUAAAAAUAUUUUUAUUUUUUUAUUUACUUUAAUUAAUAUUUUUUUGGUGUUUUCAAAUCAUUUUAAUAUACUGAUAUCAAAAAUAAUUUUUAAAGAAUAAAAAAUAUAUUAUUUUGUUGAAUUUUUGAGUGAAAAAUACUUUAAAAAAAAAACCGCAACCACACUUCCAAUCAAAUCCGAUAAAAUAAUAAUAAUAAUAAUAAUAAUAAUAAUAAAUUACCUUUCAUUUGCCAUUGAUUAAAGUAAAAUUGACGGUAUCAUGUUAUAAUGACUUGAAGUGUAAGCAUGGAAUUGAAAUAGUUUUUGCGUAUAGGAAAAAGAGGUUUAAAAAAUAUAUUUAUAGUUGUGGUUUUUAAAGAAAUAUAUAUUUCAUUAAAAUUAUUGUAAGAUAAAUUUUUUAUGUAAAAUAAAUAACAAAUAGGUCUUUAUAAAUAAAAAAAAUAUUAUUUUAGAUUAUAUAAAAUUAAAAAUUAAAAUAUAAUUAUGUACAGAACUAAUGCAAAAAUUAAAAAGAUAUUUAGCUAACUAAAUAAUUUUUGUUGUAAUUAAAGAAAAAAACAAAAACUCCAAUCAAAGUCACCUAAAAAGUCUAACCCAAGAGGAUGAAAUUGUAUGUACAGACAAAAAAUGACGUCAUCACUCAGCCUCCAGUUAGGUUCAAGAUGCCCUUUUUGUCGACGGUUUCACACGCUAUUUUAUUAACUAGUAACUAGUUUUUGUUUACGAGGCCCCAAUUAAUGCAAUAUAAUGUUACAUAAUCCAAAAUUCAUAUUCUUUUAUACAAACAACUGUACUGUGUCAGAUAAUUAAAAUAUAAAAUAACAAAAUUCUUUGUUAUAUAUUAUGGGAAAUUGAAAUGAUGAUCUAAACAGUGUUUUUUUUUUAAAAAAAAAAUUUAUUAUUGUUUAAAAAUAGUUUUUUUAUGUAUUUAAAAAUAGUUUUUUUAUGUAUUUAUAUGGUUUUAAAAAUAAAAAAUCAUUGUCAUAUUUUCAUAAACCUCUCGUAAUAAUGUGAUAAAGAAAUCUACCUGCAAUAAUAGAAAAUCCGUUGGGCCUCCUAAAAUAAAUCAUAUUCUAUGGCAGCUUGGUCUUCAUGGCUUUCACUUCACGUGAUUAGGUUUAGGUUUAGGUUUUUGUUUUGCUCUCUCUCUCUCUCUCUCUCUCUCUCUCUCUCUCUCUGUGAAAGAGUGGUGAAGCACCAAACCACUUUUGAUUCUGAAGCAACGUUUGAAAUUCAAACACCAUUUCCUUUGUUCAAGGUGAUCAAUUAGUAACUGCUUCUUUACCUAAAAGUCAAUUUGGUUAGGCUGCCUGCAUUAUUUACUUUAGUCUUUGUUUACUAUUUAUUUUUUAAAAUAUUUUUUAGUUAAAAAUAUAUUAAAAUAAUAUUUUUUUAUUUUUUAAAAUUUAUUUUUAAUAUUUGUAUAUGAAGGUAUAAAAACACACUCUAAGAGAAUAUGACACGUUGUCAUGGGCCUCAGCCUCCGUAUCAUCAUCCAUCAUAUUCUAAUUAAUUAGCCGAAGGUAAUUAAAAAAAGAAAAAAAAAGAAGAAGAAGGGGAAGGGGGGAAGGCGUUGAUUUUUCUAUACAUUGCAAGAGAGGUUCAAAACCAGAAGCUAAACAAACAAAUAAAAUAAAGCCGACAACAAAACGCGUCUAAUAUAGUUCGACUCCAUUUCUCAACUACAACCUUCAUUUUGCCUACAAACAUAGAGAGUUUAUUUUGACAAACAUUUUGCUGCUGACUCUUUCCAUAUCUCUCCCAAUCCUUUCUCUUUAGCUGCUGCUUCUUCUUCUUCUGCCUCCCAUUCUUCACUUUCGGUCGGACACCGUCCCGAGCAAAACCUGAGUCUAUUUAGGUGGCAAAGAACUGAACCUAAAACGGUCAUGUUCAUGUCUGUUUCAUUCCCUAUACCAAAACGAGAUUAAUAACAAGCUUUUCCAUCUUCAGUUAUAUGGGUGCCUCGUAAUUGUUUGCAAAUGAAAAUUCCUCUCUUUACAUGGCUUUUCUUGAUACCCUUUUUGACAAUAUUCUUUGGUGUCAAUGUGUGUUUGGUUUCUGGCCAGUGCCGGAAAGAUCAGCAAUCCUUGUUACUCCAAUUAAAGAACACUCUCGUGUUUGAUCAAUCUGUAUCUGCAAAACUAGUGAAGUGGAAUUCAACCCCAGAUUGCUGCGACUGGCCAGGCAUAACUUGCGAUGAGGGUAGUGGUCGUGUUAUCAGCCUGGACUUGAGCUCCGAACGAAUCACUGGUGGACUUGGCGAUUCAAGCGGGCUUUACAGACUUCAAUUUCUUCAGAGUCUAAACUUGUCUUUCAACAGCUUCAGCACAGCUCUGCCAGUCGGGUUUGCCAACCUCACGGAUUUGAUUUCACUGAAUUUGUCCAAUGCUGGCUUUACAGGCCAGAUUCCAAAUGAUUUCUCAAAGCUGACAAAGUUGGUCAGUCUUGAUUUGUCUGCCCUUUCCUUCCCUGGAAGUCCUGCACUGAAACUCGAGCAGCCUAAUUUUGCAACAUUGGUUCAAAAUCUCACACACCUAACAGAGCUCCUUCUUGAUGGUGUUAAUAUAUCAGCACACGGCAAUGACUGGUGCAAGGCCUUAUCAUCGUCACUGCCUAAUCUAAAAGUGCUGAGCAUGUCCAACUGCUAUCUCUCAGGCCCUCUUGAUGCUUCCCUUGCAAAGCUUCAGUCUCUUUCAAUAAUUCGUUUGAGCGGUAAUAAUUUGUCUACUCCAGUUCCAGAAUUCCUUGCAAAUUACUCGAAAUUGACUGCCUUGCAGCUCAGCUCUUGCCAGUUGAACGGUAUAUUUCCACAAGCUAUAUUCCAGGUACCAACACUAGAGAUCCUUGACUUACAAUACAACAAAUUCCUUCAGGGUUCUUUUCCGGAGUUCCAUCAGAAUCUCUCUCUUCGGACCCUCCUGCUCAGUAACACAAAUUUUUCAGGAACAUUACCACAGUCCAUUGGUGAACUCCAGAAAUUAUCCAGAAUAGAGCUAGCGGGUAACAAUUUCACUGGACCAAUUCCAAAUUCAAUGGCUAAUCUCACCCAGCUGUUUUAUCUGGACUUGUUAUCCAACAAGUUCACAGGCACACUCCCAUCAUUCCGCAAGUCCAAGAAUCUCACCUAUGUAGAUGUCUCUCACAAUCAACUAAAAGGUGAGAUUCCAUCCGGUCACUGGGAAGGCCUUCGAAGCCUCACCUAUGUUGAUUUAGGGUACAAUGCAUUCAACGGGAGCAUCCCCUCAUCGCUGUUUGCAAUCCCGUCGCUGCAGAAGAUACAGCUUUCCAACAACCGAUUUGGGGGACAGAUUCCUGAGUUUCCAAACGUGUCUUCCUCUCUUUUGGAUACCCUGGAUUUGAGCAGCAACAAGUUAGAAGGUCCUAUUCCCAGUUCUGUCUUUGGUCUUGCAAAACUCAAUGUCCUUGAACUUUCAUCCAAUAUGCUCAACGACACCUUGCAAUUACAUUGGAUUCAGAAACUUCCCAAUCUCACCACACUUGGCCUCUCAUACAACAACUUGACCGUGAAAUCAAGUGGUGGCAAUUCCAACAUGUCUUCCCUUCCCCAAAUCAAGAAACUAAGAUUAGCUUCUUGCGACCUGGGAAUGUUUCCAGAUCUAAGGAACCAAUCAAAACUCUUCCAUUUAGACCUUUCAGACAACCAAAUUACUGGGCCGGUACCUGGUUGGAUUUCAGAACUUAUUCUUCUUCAAUAUCUGAAUCUUUCACGCAAUCUUCUGGUUGAUCUAGAAAGACCUUUGUCUCUUCCUGGUCUUAGCAUCUUAGACCUGCAUCAUAACCAGCUCCAAGGGAGCAUUCCAGUUCCUCCAUCAU
rnacentral:lncRNA from 1 species